rnacentral:rRNA from 1 species
GACUACUCGGGUAUCUAAUCCCGUUUGCUCCCUACGCUUUCGCGUCUCAGCGUCAGGACAGGCCCAGUCACCCGCUUUCGCCACAGGCGUUCCCUUAGAUAUCUACGCAUUUCACCGCUCCACCUAAGGUUCCAGUGACCCCUACCUGCCUCGAGGUCGGCAGUAUACCAAGCAGUUCCCGGAUUGAGUCCGGGGAUUUCACAAGGUACUUACCGUCCCGCCUGCACGCGCUUUAAGCCCAAUGAUUCCGAACAACGCUAGGGACCUCCGUCUUACCGCGGCUGCUGGCACGGAGUUAGCCGUCCCUUUCAUCUGCUGAUCAGAUUGGCGACGUGUUAGGUCGCCUCACUUUCUGACAAACUAUUGAAGUUUACAUCCCGAAGGACUUCAUCCUUCACGCGGCGUCGCUCCGUCAGGCUUGCGCCCAUUGCGGAAUAUUCCUUACUGCAGCCUCCCGUAGG